UACGGGAGGCAGCAGUGGGGAAUAUUGCACAAUGGGCGAAAGCCUGAUGCAGCUAUGCCGCGUGUAUGAAGAAGGCCUUAGGGUUGUAAAGUACUUUCAUCGGGGAGGAAAAAACAAAACUAAUAAUUUUAUUUCUUGACGUUACCCGAAAAAGAAGCACCGGCUAACUCCGUGCCAGCAGCCGCGGUAAUACGGAGGGUGCUAGCGUUAAUCAGAAUUACUGGGCGUAAAGAGCACGUAGGUGGUUUUUUUAAGUCAGAUGUGAAAUCCCUGGGCUUAACCUAGGAACUGCAUUUUGAAACUGAAAUACUAGAGUAUCGUAGAGGGAGGUAGAAUUCUAGGUGUAGCGGUGAAAUGCGUAGAUAUCUGGAGGAAUACCUGUGGCGAAAGCGGCCUCCUAAACGAAUACUGACACUGAGGUGCGAAAGCGUGGGGAGCAAACAGGGAUUAGGAUACC
rnacentral:rRNA from 1 species